AGUGAACGCUGGCGGUAGGCCUAACACAUGCAAGUCGAACGGCAGCACAGUAAGAGCUUGCUCUUACGGGUGGCGAGUGGCGGACGGGUGAGGAAUACAUCGGAAUCUACUUUUUCGUGGGGGAUAACGUAGGGAAACUUACGCUAAUACCGCAUACGACCUACGGGUGAAAGCAGGGGAUCUUCGGACCUUGCGCGAUUGAAUGAGCCGAUGUCGGAUUAGCUAGUUGGCGGGGUAAAGGCCCACCAAGGCGACGAUCCGUAGCUGGUCUGAGAGGAUGAUCAGCCACACUGGAACUGAGACACGGUCCAGACUCCUACGGGAGGCAGCAGUGGGGAAUAUUGGACGAUGGGCGCAAGCCUGAUCCAGCCAUACCGCGUGGGUGAAGAAGGCCUUCGGGUUGUAAAGCCCUUUUGUUGGGAAAGAAAAGCAGCAGGUUAAUACCCCGCUGUUCUGACGGUACCCAAAGAAUAAGCACCGGCUAACUUCG
rnacentral:rRNA from 1 species